rnacentral:rRNA from 1 species
AUUGAACGCUGGCGGCAGGCCUAACACAUGCAAGUCGAACGAGUGGCGGACGGGUGAGUAAUGUCUGGGAAACUGCCUGAUGGAGGGGGAUAACUACUGGAAACGGUAGCUAAUACCGCAUACCAUCGGAUGUGCCCAGAUGGGAUUAGCUAGUAGGUGGGGGAAAGGCUCACCUGGGCGACGAUCCCUAGCUGGGCUUAGAGGAUGACCAGCCACACUGGAACUGAGACAGGGUCCAGACGCCGACGGGAGGCAGCAGUGGGGAAUAUUGGACAAGGGGCGCAAGCCUGAUGAAGCCAUGCCGCGUGUAGGAAGAAGGCCUUCGGGUUGUAAAGUACUUUCAGCGGGGAGGCGUUACCCGCAGAAGAAGCAACGGCUAACUCCGUGCCAGCAGCCGCGGUAAUAC